rnacentral:rRNA from 1 species
CCUACGGGAGGCAGCAGUGGGGAAUCUUGGGCAAUGGAGGCAACUCUGACCCAGCAACGCCGCGUGAAUGAUGAAGGUCUUCGGAUUGUAAAGUUCUGUGAUGGGGGAUGAACACAAUGACGGUACCCCAAUAGCAAGCCACGGCUAACUACGGGCCAGCAGACGCGGUAAUACGUAGGUGGCAAGCGUUUUCCGGAUGGACUGGGCGGAAAGGGUGCGUAGGUGGUUUAGUAAGUUGGCGGUGUAAUUCCGGGGCUCAACCUGGGCGGUACAGCCAAACCGAUUAGACUAGAGGGCAGGAGGGGUAAGUGGAAUUCCUAGUGUAGCGGUGGAAUGCGUAGAUAUUAGGAGGAACAUCAGGGGCGAAGGCGACUUACUGGACUGUAACUGACACUGAGGCACGAAAGCGUGGGGAGCAAACAGGAUUAGAUACCCUAGUAGUC